AAAGAGAUGGCGACCGGCGCACGGGUGAGUAACACGUAUCCAACCUGCCGAUAACUCGGGGAUAGCCUUUCGAAAGAAAGAUUAAUACCCGAUGGCAUAAUAGAACCGCAUGGUUUGAUUAUUAAAGAAUUUCGGUUAUCGAUGGGGAUGCGUUCCAUUAGGCAGUUGGUGGGGUAACGGCCCACCAAACCUUCGAUGGAUAGGGGUUCUGAGAGGAAGGUCCCCCACAUUGGAACUGAGACACGGUCCAA
rnacentral:rRNA from 1 species